UGCUUUCUGUCAGAGGACAGCCCUGAAGCUGAGAGCGGAGAAUCAGCAGCAGAGCCUUUGUCCUUCACCCUGCAUUCUCCAGGACAAGUAUCAGCAAUAAUUCCAAGAUUCUUAGCUCACCAUAGCUACAGUCCUUUUGAGGGUCGUAGUGAGAACCCAGAAAGUGAGCUUCCUCUGACUGCUGGACAGUAUUGUUUAUUGUCUCUGGAGAUGUGGAUGAGAAUGGCUGGUUUCUGGGAGAGCUGACAGAUGGCACAAGAGGACUGGUCCCUUCCAAUGUGGUUGUGGAAGUUUCCGAUGAUGAACUGGAUACAACGAUGCCUCUAGAGCUUUGUGAUCUCCUGCUGGACACUGAUGAUUAAGUGGAUGCAGAGAUUCCAUAACGCAGCAACAUCCUGUAAAAAUUCCUGCACUGAUUCAUCUGCAAGACUACCCCCUGCUCCACUAGAUGUUCAAGUGGAGUGUGAGCAGGAU
rnacentral:lncRNA from 1 species